rnacentral:lncRNA from 10 species
CCACCUGGGGGAAAGACUAGGAAGAGGGGAAGUGGGAGAGAAGGAAGUAGCAGUGGGGCAGGUCUGAGUCAGGGACCGAAGACCUGGGAAAGGCAGCUCUGGUGGGUCUGGAGAGGAGGCAGAAGAGAGGAAGGCAGGCGGAGGAAGGGUGUGUGCUCAGGGCUUUGAAUGAUGCCUGAAAAGGGCCUAGAAGUCUUGUGUCACAUAGUCCCUGGCACAAGGAGACCUGGCAGAGAAGGGGAGAAAGCGUUAAAUCUGGAGCCUGCCAGCUUGGAUUUCAGACCCUUCCACUCAGGCUGUGUGACCCUGGGCAAGUUUUUUGCUCUCUCUGAGCCUCAGGUUCUAACAAAGAGCAGUUUUGGUGCAUCGUUCACACUGGGUGGGCUGUGAGGUCAGAUGUCCAUCCAACCUCAGACCCUCCAUGGCCCUUGCCGGUCUUCCUGGGUAUGCCCCUCCUUUAGCCAAAGCAUAUAUCCCCCCAUGCCCCUCCCCCAACGCCUGCAAGAGCUGCCCUGUCCUAGCCUUCUGGGAGUGCCCCAGCCCCUCUGAAGGGGUUCGAGCCAAUCCAGGGCCUAUGCAAUGAGGGACCAGCAGGACUCAGGGGAUGGGGGAAAGGACCUUCUCAAGGCUCAUUUUGGGAGGGGGAGUACAUACCUGCUUCCCCCACCCGUGCUCCCCCAUGACCCACUCCAUGGGAUAUUUGGGUUUCCUCCCCUUUCCCGAGCUCAGGCCCUGCUUGCUUUCUCCACAACAAGGAGCGAAUGUUAUUUAAAAGGAGAUCAGGAGAUUUGCCUUAAAUAGGCAUGGAGUGCUGUGCCAGGUCCCAGUAGAGGGGCGGGAGAGGAGGCCAUCUUGGCGGAAGGGAGAAAGGAGUGGAGCUGCAAGAGAGAACAACCUCCCAGGAGUGCGCAGAGCCCUGCACAGUUUACCAAGCACAGGCCUAGUCUGCGGGGAGACGCCCCGGUCUUCAGAUGCCAGGAGUGUGGAGGUUUUCUGGGAGGCAAGGGGAUAGGG